ACAAGCGGUGGAGCAUGUGGUUAAUUCGAAGCAACGCGAAGAACCUACCAGGCCUUGACAUGCAGAGAACUUUCCAGAGAUGGAUUGGUGCCUUCGGGAACUCUGACACAGGUGCUGCAUGGCUGUCGUCAGCUCGCGUCGUGAGAUGUUGGGUUAAGUCCCGUAACGAGCGCAACCCUUGUCCUUAGUUACCAGCACGUUAUGGUGGGCACUCUAAGGAGACUGCCGGUGACAAACCGGAGGAAGGUGGGGAUGACGUCAAGUCAUCAUGGCCCUUACGGCCUGGGCUACACACGUGCUACAAUGGUCGGUACAAAGGGUUGCCAAGCCGCGAGGUGGAGCUAAUCCCAUAAAACCGAUCGUAGUCCGGAUCGCAGUCUGCAACUCGACUGCGUGAAGUCGGAAUCGCUAGUAAUCGUGAAUCAGAAUGUCACGGUGAAUACGUUCCCGGGCCUU
rnacentral:rRNA from 1 species